UAAGGAAUAUUGGUCAAUGGAGGCAACUCUGAACCAGCCAUACCGCGUGAAGGAUUAAGGCCCUCUGGGUUGUAAACUUCUUUUAUAUGGGAAGAAAUGUACUUUUUCUAGAGUGCUUGACGGUACCAUAGGAAUAAGCACCGGCUAACUCCGUGCCAGCAGCCGCGGUAAUACGGAGGGUGCAAGCGUUAUCCGGAUUUACUGGGUUUAAAGGGUGCGUAGGCGGAUGAAUAAGUCAGUGGUGAAAUCUCCGAGCUUAACUCGGAAACUGCCGUUGAUACUAUUUGUCUUGAAUAUUGUGGAGGUAAGCGGAAUAUGUCAUGUAGCGGUGAAAUGCUUAGAUAUGACAUAGAACACCAAUCGCGAAGGCAGCUUGCUACACAAUCAUUGACGCUGAGGCACGAAAGCGUGGGGAUCAAACA
rnacentral:rRNA from 1 species